UACGUAGGGUGCGAGCGUUAAUCGGAAUUACUGGGCGUAAAGCGUGCGCAGGCGGCUUCGCAAGUCAGGCGUGAAAUCCCCGGGCUUAACCUGGGAAUGGCGUCUGAAACUACGGAGCUGGAGUGUGGCAGAUGGAGGUAGAAUUCCACGUGUAGCGGUGAAAUGCGUAGAUAUGUGGAGGAAUACCGAUGGCGAAGGCAGCCUCCUGGGCCAACACUGACGCUCAUGCACGAAAGCGUGGGGAGCAAACAGG
rnacentral:rRNA from 1 species